rnacentral:rRNA from 1 species
ACUCAAAUGAAUUGACGGGGGCCCGCACAAGCGGAGGAACAUGUGGUUUAAUUCGAUGAUACGCGAGGAACCUUACCCGGGCUCGAACGGCGGAAGAAUAACAAGGAAACUUGUUAGCCAGCAAUGGCUUCUGUCGAGGUGCUGCAUGGUUGUCGUCAGCUCGUGCCGUGAGGUGUCGGCUUAAGUGCCAUAACGAGCGCAACCCUUACCGUUAGUUACCAUCAGGUCAUGCUGGGGACUCUAGCGGGACUGCCACCGUAAGGUGUGAGGAAGGUGGGGAUGACGUCAAAUCAGCACGGCCCUUACGUCCGGGGCUACACACGUGUUACAAUGGGGGGUACAAAGGGCAGCUACCUAGUGAUAGGAUGCCAAUCUCUAAAACCUCUCCCAGUUCGGAUCGGAGUCUGCAACCCGACUCCGUGAAGCUGGAUUCGCUAGUAAUCGCGCAUCAGCCAUGGCGCGGUGAAUACGUUCCCGGGCCUUGCACACACCGCCCGU